UCGGACAGAAGGGGCAGGUGCCCAGGCAGCCUUACCCCCCCACUCCACUGAAAAGGGUCUGGUUGCUCCCCCGUCGGACAGAACGGGCAGUCGCCCAGGCAGCCUUGCCACCCCCACCCCACUGAAAAAGGCCUGGUUACUCCCCAGUCGGACAGAAGGGGCAGAUGCCUAGGCAGCCUUGCCACCCCCAGCCCACUGUAAAAGGUCUGGUUAUGCCCCCCUCAGACAGAUUGGGCAGUCGCCCAGGCAGCCUUGCCACCCCCACCCCACUGUAAAAGGUCUGGUUAUGCCCCAGUCAGACAGAAAGGCCAGAUAUCCAGGGUCCCUUACCCCCCCACACCACACUUUAAAAUGUCUGGGUGCCCCCCUGUCCGACAGAAUUGGCAAGUGCCCAGGCACCCUUUCCACCCCCACCCCACUGUAAAAGGGUCAAUAUAUAAUUGAGGGAAUUUUCAUGUCCAUGAGAUUUAUCUCGCAAACAUGCUUAUUAAAAUAAAAUUUUAAAAGUCUUCAGUGUUCUUCAUGAUCUUGUCUUUACAAAUUCCAUAGUUAAUUAUUAUGGAAAUAAUCAUUUAUUUAUAAAAAUUUACUAGAUAUCCCUAAAAUGUCAACUGAAUAACCGUCCGAAAUGAAUUGCAACCACAAUCUCAUUACCUAAAAAAACAUUUUAAAAACUUAUUCAAAAACAGUUUUAAUUAUAUUAUUUACAUUAAGUUGAGGUAAUUUUGAACAAUGUGUCUUUUUGGGCAAUAUGUCACAUUUUCAAUGGAAAUUGACAAAUUGAAUAUGUGUCCGAGAAGUCGCUGUCAUCUAAGUUACCCAUAGCAAAUACACCCCUCAAGGAAGAGUGUGUUUUCCAAAUCACAUGACCUGCUCCACAUGAUGUCAUUUCCUCCUGAAGAGAAAACUAGCAAGACUCCAAGGUAUGUUCUCCCUCCACAUUUUCAGUUAUUUCACCUAAAGUAGUGCUUGGGGCAAAUGUGUACUUAUCAUAUGUCAACAAUGUUACUACAAUGAAUUCAUAAAUAACUUUGAAUUUCAAUUUUACUCAGUUGUACAUAUAAUAUUUAGAAGAACCUCUCUGUAAAAUGCCAUGUGGUGUCUGGUGCUAGGCAACCAUUUUGAUUUUAUCCCUAAAAACAGCAAAAAUGUCAACUAGGUUAUAUUAUAAAAGUAAACUUGUUUUCAGGCAAAUGCCACGAUUAUCUGCUGCAGAAAAGCAGCGCCGUUACCGUGCACGGCGAGAUGCUGAUCCAGCAAAAAGGGAGGCAUACUUGGCAAAAGGCCGGCAGAAAUGGAGAGAAAAGAGGGAGCAAGGUGCAUACUAUAAGCCCAUAUCUGAACAGAGUGAGAGGGAAAAACGUGCAAAGAGAAAGGCCUGGAGAAGAGCCCAGGAACAGAGCAGACGCAGAAAGAAACAGGCUUCUGCUAUUGUUACCCCACCACUGAGUCCUGACAGUGAGGAACAACCAGUUCCACAACCAGGAAGACAGAGAAUACAAGGAAGAAGGACUAGAAGAAGACGGUACCAGAAAAUAUACAUUGAGAAUCACAAACUCAAGGAAAAGCUUAAAGCUCAAACAAAAACAUCAGACAAAUACUGUAAGCGCUAUGAGCGGCUACUGUGCAGCGUCGACUCUCCUAGGAAAAGAACAAAAAGGAUGCUCGGAACAAGUCCAGUCAGUAAUGAUGUGCGGAGAACUCUGGUCUAUCAUCAUGCAUGCGGAUUCACCAGGUCAUCACGCAAGCACCAGGGAAACUGACAUACCGUGAUGUGAGCUGCCUGUGUUCAACAAGGCAGAUUCUGCAAUGUCAGUGUUACCAAGCUCAGGCCUUCGACUUCAAAGUCAACUCUGCUGUUCCUGCAUUGCACCAAGAACAACCAGACCUUGAAGUACAGUGGGAUAGAGAUGACAUUGUUGGUCAGUGGUGUGUCAUCAGAUAUGACGAUGAGGUUUACCCUGGAACCAUUGUUGAAGUGAGUGAGACACAUGUUCAUGUUAAGUGCAUGCACAGAGUGGGACACAAUCGUUACUACUGGCCAAUGCGAGAGGAUGUGCUCUGGUAUCCAUUUGAGGAUGUGCUCAGGUUGAUUCCUGCCCCACAGCAUGUGACAGCACGUCAUGUUGAAAUAUAAAGAGAUGUGUGGGAAGAUAUUGCCAAAUCAUAUCUUCAAGGCUAAGGACAUGCGCACACACACACACACACACACACACGUGCUAACAAACACGUGGCACAAGCACACGGUCAAGCACACACACAUAUAGACACCAGACGUCCAGGUGCCAGAAAGUAAACAUCCUGCCAUGUUUUUGGAUCUGCCUCUACAUCUAGAACAGGUGUUUUCACUAACGAGCUCAUACCUGGUAGAGGAGCUGGUUUAGUGUGGUUGGAACAGCUGCUGGACAGGAUUUCUACUUUCUGGCACCUGGACUAUACACCUCUGAUAUACACACACGCACACACACACACACACACUCAAAGAUUACUUAAUUGAGCUUGACAAAGUCAUUGAAAAACAAACCAUAAUUGGCCAUGUUCUUGGGUUAGAAAAUGGGGAGUGUGUUCUGUCUCCACCGGUUUCAUGGGUGCCUGGAAGUUGGAGGGUAUGCCAAUGUUUUACUUGGGUUCUGACAUAUGAAUGUUUUUGAGAUACAACAGUUUGCACAAUUAAAAUUUUGAUCCAAUGCAGCAUACUUAUUCUGUUAACCAACAGAAUAAAACACUAUUUGGUUAUUGUUACUUAUUGCAGUGCACUAUAAUUUUUUGUUCAAUACAAUGCACUACUGUAUUUCAUUCCACAAACAAUAUUUUCAAAAUGUUUACAAUGUGGAAUUUUUGUGUAAGUGCUGUUUUUGAUACUUUUGUUGUUGUUGUUUUCUAUGUUAGGAUCUCUUGCUUAUGAUAUAUGUGCUUGUUAAUAAAGUUGUGAUUGAUCCUUGUAAACUGAUGUG